rnacentral:tRNA from 1 species
AACUAUUAUAUAAAUUAUAUAAUAUAAAUAUUAGAAUAAAAAAAAUAAAAUUU